rnacentral:rRNA from 1 species
CCUACGGGUGGCUGCAGUGGGGAAUAUUGGACAAUGGGCGAAAGCCUGAUCCAGCCAUGCCGCGUGUGUGAAGAAGGCCUUCGGGUUGUAAAGCACUUUCAGUGGGGAAGAAAGCCUUGGGGCUAAUACCCUCGAGGAAGGACAUCACCCACAGAAGAAGCACCGGCUAACUCCGUGCCAGCAGCCGCGGUAAUACGGAGGGUGCGAGCGUUAAUCGGAAUUACUGGGCGUAAAGCGCGCGUAGGCGGUCUGAUAAGCCGGUUGUGAAAGCCCCGGGCUCAACCUGGGAACGGCAUCCGGAACUGUCAGGCUAGAGUGCAGGAGAGGAAGGUAGAAUUCCCGGUGUGGCGGUGAAAUGCGUAGAGAUCGGGAGGAAUACCAGUGGCGAAGGCGGCCUUCUGGACUGACACUGACGCUGAGGUGCGAAAGCGUGGGUAGCAAACAGGAUUAGAUACCCCAGUAGUC